rnacentral:misc_RNA from 1 species
AGCCAGAAGUAAAGAGGCCGAGACAGAGGCGUGGUAUCGUUUUGCGGCGGUUUGGUGUGUGACAGUGUGUGCCUGUGUGUGGUUAGCCGCGACCGUCAUCGGCGCGGGUGUGUUUUGCCGGAAUAAGAGCGAUCGGUGGUGCCGGAAUCAUGCUUGGACGUCUCCCCGCGUGUGUCAUCGACGUGGGCACAGGGUACACGAAAUUGGGAUUCGCUGGCAAUAAGGAGCCCCAACUAACUAUACCGUCAGCGAUCGCCAUCAAAGAGACGACCAAAGUCGGCGAUAAUAAUGCGAGGAGAAUUACGAAGGGCGUGGAGGACCUGGACGCCUACAUUGGGGACGAGGCUUUCGAAGCCACCGGAUAUUCGGUUAAAUAUCCAGUGAGGCAUGGACUAGUGGAGGAUUGGGACUUGAUGGAGAAAUUUUUACAACAAUGCAUCUUCAAGUACCUCAGAUCAGAGCCCGAGGAUCAUUACUUCCUCUUAACCGAACCACCUUUGAAUACGCCAGAGAAUCGGGAAUACACUGCGGAAAUUAUGUUCGAGUCAUUUAACGUGCCGGGACUUUACAUAGCUGUGCAAGCCGUUCUCGCCUUAGCAGCCUCGUGGACAGCUAAGAAUGUGGAGGACCGCACUUUGACUGGCGUUGUCGUCGAUAGUGGAGACGGUGUAACCCACGUGAUUCCAGUAGCGGAAGGUUUCGUCAUAGGAAGUUGUAUAAAGCACAUUCCUAUCGCUGGUCGCGAUAUCACCUACUUCAUACAGAGUCUGCUGAGGGAACGAGAGAUUGGGAUACCUCCUGAGCAAUCGUUAGAAACAGCCAAAUCGAUCAAAGAGAAAUACUGUUACAUAUGUCCAGAUAUAUCGAAAGAAUUCGCCAAAUAUGAUAGCGAUCCCACAAAGAUAAAAAAAUACGACGGUAUCAACAAUAUCACAAAGCAACCUUUUGUGGUGGAUGUCGGAUACGAAAGGUUCCUUGGACCGGAAAUAUUUUUCCAUCCCGAAUUUUCCAAUCCGGACUUUACAACGCCGCUCAAUGAAAUUGUUGACGAUGUGAUACAAAACUGCCCAAUCGACGUCCGAAGACCACUGUACAGUAAUAUCGUGUUAUCGGGUGGCUCCACCAUGUUCAAAGACUUUGGUAGACGAUUACAACGAGAUAUCAAAAAGAUCGUCGACUCGCGCCUCAAGCUUAGUGAAACGUUAAGUGGCAGCCAUAUUACGCCAAAACCAAUAGACGUUCGUGUAAUAUCGCAUCACAAGCAACGUUGCGCGGUAUGGUAUGGCGGCGCUUUAUUAGCCAGCGAUCCAGAAUUUUACACAGUUUGUCACACGAAGAAAGCGUACCAGGAGUAUGGUCCUGGAAUUUGUCGUUAUAAUCCCGUAUUUCACAGUAUGGUUUAAGAAAUAAAUGGGACGAGCACGACGAUCGAAAUCAUUUUUAAGAGUAUUGUCACUUAUGAAUAAUUAUGUCAGAUAUUUGAGUCAGCAUGACUUGAAUUUACGAUUAGAUUAUGAAAAUUAAUGUACGUUUAUUUCUGUUUUUGGAAUUUAAUCAUCAUUCAGGAUAUAUAGUAUAUGACUGUAUACACUUGAUACGCAUUUCCAUAGAAUUUACUAUGUAUUUUUAUUUUUGCGAUAUAGUAUAUUUAUUAUAUUUACAAGUCUUUAAAAAAUGCAUAUAUAACAGAUUUAUGAUGUUAUAAUAAUUAUUUUGUCGUUUAAUAUAUAGUGGUGCAUAUAAUAAUGCAACACUACUUACUAUAUUCAGAAACAAUUUUACACUGAACAAAAACUCUAACAAAAUUUUAUACAUACAAUUUCUUUAUACAUGAAAUCAAAUGAAUGCUGGAAUAAUCUUCUUAGACUAUAGUAUGUACCAACUAAUUUUUUGCAUUUUUACAUGACUAUUUAAAAGGACAUAUGUGUAUUACUUAAAAUUGUUAGAUUGGAUAGGUUUCUUUUGGCGUUGAGUUCCACACAAUUAAAGAAGGUUGUUGUUACGCGUGGUCAUCAUUCUCCUCGCUAAAUAAACAAAAAGUAUAAUCAA